rnacentral:rRNA from 1 species
UACGGGGGGAGCAAGCGUUGUUCGGAUUUACUGGGCGUAAAGGGCGCGUAGGCGGCCAGCGCAAGUCAGUUGUGAAAUCUCCGAGCUUAACUCGGAAAGGUCAACUGAAACUGUGCGACUAGAGUGCGGAAGGGGCAACUGGAAUUCUUGGUGUAGCGGUGAAAUGCGUAGAUAUCAAGAGGAACACCUGCGGCGAAGGCGGGUUGCUGGGCCGACACUGACGCUGAAGCGCGAAAGCCAGGGGAGCGAACGGG